ensembl:lncRNA
UUUGGAGCCGACUGUGGAGACUUCAUGAGGUCCAUCCCUGGUGUUGGCAGAUGAGGCGACUCAUUGCUCGAGGUCGACAUUCCAGUUCAUCUCAAAGCUGUUAGCUCGGGUUAAGGAUUAUCAGGCAUCAUGGGAACCAAAGGACUAGAGGUGGACAUUGUUCUGGGCUCCUCCUCCUCUUCUCAGGUCUCUACCUCCAAACCAACCAACCCUGCAGACCGGCGUGUCAAGUAGACGAAACAAGCGCACCACGUUGGUUCAUUGACUGAAAGGAAGUUAUGAAAUCAAGACAACUUGACUUUCCAUUCCUCUGCUCUCUGGGCUGCUCAGGAUUUUAAAGCCAGCUUGAAGUGAACAAGCACUGAUAAAGCAGACAAAUGCUGAAAUACAAAGACACUGUAAUAUGAUUGUGGUAAAAGUACUGGAUGUUUAACAUCAAAGCUUGUUGAUGCUGUGAAGACUUUUGACUGCACUGUGAAAUUUGAAGCCGCCUCAUGUAGAAUCGAAGUUGCCAAAAACAAUCAAAAAAGUAGUAUUUUAGUGAAGAAGUGUAAUAUUUUCUGCUCUUUCAUGAAGUAGAAGUAAAAUUGUAACAUAGAAACUGGUCCAAAAAUGAAACCUUAGCGAAAUGAUUAUUUUAGUAGGCCAAUAGUGUAAAAAUAUAGGAAUUUAUUUUUGUAAGAUUGUUUUGUUCCUGGUGUCUGUUAUGUGUAGUGGGGGGUCAUUAGGAUGACAGUCCAAUUCUAGGGUGUGUUGAAACCUUUGCAUCUCAAAUCAUCUCCUUUUUCUAUCUAAUCUUGACUUUAUAGUAAGAGGUGCAAUCUAGAAGUUUAGAGAUGACACCAUCCCCUUUCAAACAGUGUACCUUUGCUGCUUGUGCAAAGGUACACUGCUCCAAGCUCUCCAGCCACACUUCAUAUUCCUUGCAAGUCCUGUUCUGACCACUUGCAGGUGCACAUCUGUUGUUUUACCAUGGAGCUCAAUCUUGCACAGAGCAAACAUCAGAUUCUGUGUCAAACUGAUCUAAUGUUCAUGCGGAGGACCAUCACUGGUGAGGAAAAGUGGGUCUGCAGCUAUGACCCAGAGACCAAACAGCUGUUUUCAGUCUCCAACACUGAAGAAGGUGCAUCAGGUCAGGAGCUCAGCUGGAGCAUACUUGUUAUUUUUUCAACAGUAAUGCAGUUGUGCACAGUGAAUUCAUUCCCCAGGGUCAGAAAGUCAAAGCUGAGGUUCACCAUAACAUCCUGAGGUGCAACUUAUCCAUCCAUCCAUCCAUCCAUCCAUCCAUCCAUCCAUCCAUCCAUCCAUCCAUCUUCUUCUGCUUAUCCUGGGCAGCAGAUGAAGCAGGUCAUUCCAGACAUCCCUCCCUCCAGCAACACUUUCCAGCUCUUCCUGGGGGAUCCCGAGACGUUCACGCGUGAACAAGAUCCCAAGAUACUUGAACUCCUUUGCUUGAGGAAGUGAGGGAGUUUUGCUUCCUCUUCCCUAAAGUGAUAUUCAAGUUGAAUAUUGACAGUAUAAGAUGGUGCUGGAUGAGUUACAGGAUUGCGAGAGUCCAUUCAGUUGUGACAGUAACACUGGGUGAUGUGUGUCACUGCACAAAUAGGCUAAUUAGAAGGGACUGACUGCCAAAUUUAAAUGUGGCACAAUUUUUUAGGCAUAGACUUUGAACUUUUGUAGCUGAUCCCAGAUGACUUCGGGUGAAGGCAGGGGACACCCUGGAAAGGCCGCCAGUCUAUCACAGGGCUACACAUAGAGACAACCAAGCACACUCACAUUCACACCUACGGACAAUUUAGAAUUAAUAAUUAACCUCAGCAUGUUUUUGGACUGUGGGAGGAAGCCAGAGAACCUGGAGAAAACCAUGUAGAAAGAUCCCAGGCCCGGGCCGGGAUGCUGUGAGGCAACGGUGCUAACCACCAAGCCACUGUGCAGCCAAAUCAAAUUCAAUUGAAUUUAAUUGAAAUAUGUUAAAGAUAUGUAUGAAGAAAUUAGGACUAUAUUUUUGAAGGUGAAACUAAAGUUUUUUACCAGGUUAACAUGGUCAUGUGGUGUUCUUUAAAGCAUAGACGACACAUGAGCAGAAUAAGCAGCCAACACCAGGACUGAGCAUUUCCACCUUGAAACUUCAGUGUACCGAUGACAGUCUUACACCCACAGAUUAAGACUUGUGCAGGUUCAUAUGUAACAAGCCUAAAGAACUAAUUCUUUCAGGCAACAAGGUGGAGCUUUUUGUGUUCAUAUUCUUUCCAGUUUGAGUAAGUAUGGCUGAAUUACUCAAAACACAUUUUUAAAAAACUAGAAUAUGUAAUUUUUGACACAGAAAUGAUUUUUGAUGUUUUAGGAGUUUCAUCAACGAGAAACUGUAACUGUUCACUGUAGUCAACAUCAUGCAACAAUGGCUAUAUUCUGUGUCAAUUUAGUGAGAAAAAAAGCUCAUAUUUUUUUAUAAUUAUUAUCUAGCAACAUAAAAAACUGUAAAGUAUUGUGCACAAUCAAUAAAUGCAAGUAAUGAAUUAGGGAGGUUUCAUUGUGAUUUCUAUUUGUUAAAUUCUUCACCUGGAUA